rnacentral:tRNA from 1 species
UUGAGUUUUAGUUUAAGAUAAGAAUUUUUGACUGUUAAUCAAAAGGAGCAGUUGUUGCAAAUUCAAU